AUUAUUAUUGAUGUGCGGUGUAAUUUUCAUUAACACCAUAAUGCACAAAGAUGGACUCUCAAAGUUGAGGAAAUAAAUUAGCUUUUCUAACAUGAGCGGGAGACAUGAUAAACACUUGAGAAAAUGUUACAUGGGAUGAAUUAUCAUUUGUAUAUAUAGAUCCUCGAGUAUCAUAAUAUGAACCUGAAGUUCAUAAAAGGAUAAUUCAAUUGCAACAUAUUGCAAAGCAUGCUAUACGCAUUUGCUGACCCAAAGAAAGUAACUNNNNN
rnacentral:lncRNA from 1 species